rnacentral:rRNA from 1 species
UACGUAGGGAGCAAGCGUUGUCCGGAAUCAUUGGGCGUAAAGCGCGCGUAGGCGGCCAGAUAAGUCCGGUGUGAAAGUCAAAGGCUCAACCUUUGAAUGCCGCUGGAAACUGUCUGGCUUGAGUCCGGAAGGGGCGAGUGGAAUUCCUGGUGUAGCGGUGAAAUGCGCAGAUAUCAGGAGGAACACCAAUGGCGAAGGCAGCACUCUGGGACGGUACUGGACGCUGAGGUGGCGAAAGCGUGGGGAGCAAACAGG